AUUGAACGCUGGCGGCAUGCCUUACACAUGCAAGUCGAACGGUAACAGGCCUUUCGGGGUGCUGACGAGUGGCGAACGGGUGAGUAAUGCAUCGGAACGUGUCCAGUGGUGGGGGAUAACCCCGAGAAAUCGGGGCUAAUACCGCAUGAGCCCGAGAGGGGAAAGCGGGGGACCUGAUGAGGGCCUCGCGCGACUGGAGCGGCCGAUGUCCGAUUAGCUAGUUGGUGGGGUAAAGGCCCACCAAGGCGACGAUCGGUAGCGGGUCUGAGAGGACGGCCCGCCACACUGGGACUGAGACACGGCCCAGACUCCUACGGGAGGCAGCAGUGGGGAAUUUUGGACAAUGGGCGAAAGCCUGAUCCAGCCAUGCCGCGUGCGGGAAGAAGGCCUUCGGGUUGUAAACCGCUUUCGGCCGGGACGAAAUCGCUUUCCUGAACAGGG
rnacentral:rRNA from 1 species